UACGUAGGGUGCAAGCGUUGUCCGGAAUUAUUGGGCGUAAAGAGCGUGUAGGCGGCCAGACAGGUCAGCUGUGAAAACUCGAGGCUCAACCUCGAGACGUCGGUUGAAACCGUCUGGCUAGAGUCCGGAAGAGGAGAGUGGGAAUUCCCGGUGUAGCGGUGAAAUGCGCAGAUAUCGGGAAGAACACCCGUGGCGAAGGCGGCUCUCUGGGACGGUACUGACGCUG
rnacentral:rRNA from 1 species